AGUGAACGCUGGCGGUAGGCUUAACACAUGCAAGUCGAACGGCAGCACAGUAAGAGCUUGCUCUUACGGGUGGCGAGUGGCGGACGGGUGAGGAAUACAUCGGAAUCUACUUUUUCGUGGGGGAUAACGUAGGGAAACUUACGCUAAUACCGCAUACGACCUACGGGUGAAAGCAGGGGAUCUUCGGACCUUGCGCGAUUGAAUGAGCCGAUGUCGGAUUAGCUAGUUGGCGGGGUAAAGGCCCACCAAGGCGACGAUCCGUAGCUGGUCUGAGAGGAUGAUCAGCCACACUGGAACUGAGACACGGUCCAGACUCCUACGGGAGGCAGCAGUGGGGAAUAUUGGACAAUGGGCGCAAGCCUGAUCCAGCCAUACCGAGUGGGUGAAGAAGGCCUUCGGGUUGUAAAGCCCUUUUGUUGGGAAAGAAAAGCAGCAGGUUAAUACCCCGCUGUUCUGACGGUACCCAAAGAAUAAGCACCGGCUAACUUCGUG
rnacentral:rRNA from 1 species